CCCCGUGCUCCUGUGUUGCAGCCCAAGAACCGCCGGCAGACGACGGCCAAGCCCCGAGCACGCAGCCCCGAGGUGGAUGUGGAGGAGCUGCUCUCUGACUCUGGGGAAGGGGAGGAUUCUGACUGGCUUCCUGGGAAAGCAGGCAGAGGAACAAGGAAAACCCUCACAGGGUGCUCGUGCAAGGGCCGCUGUGGGAACAGGCAGUGUGGCUGCAGGAAGCAGAAGCUGGGAUGCACCGAUGGCUGCAGCUGCUCCCCGGCCACCUGCAGGAACAGGGACCGGGGCCUGG